AGAUUGAACGCUGGCGGCAUGCUUUACACAUGCAAGUCGAACGGCAGCACGGGGGCAACCCUGGUGGCGAGUGGCGAACGGGUGAGUAAUGCAUCGGAACGUAUCCUUAAGUGGGGGAUAACGCAUCGAAAGAUGCGCUAAUACCGCAUAAUCUCUGAGGAGAAAAGCAGGGGACCGCAAGACCUUGCGUCUUUUGGAGCGGCCGAUGCCUGAUUAGCUAGUUGGUGAGGUAAAGGCUUACCAAGGCUUCGAUCAGUAGCUGGUCUGAGAGGACGACCAGCCACACGUGGGACUGGAGACACCGGCCCAGACUCCGUACGGGAGGCAGCAGGUGGGUAAUUUGGACAAGUGGGGGACAACCCGUAGACUCCAGCCAUCGGCCGUCGUGAGUAGGAA
rnacentral:rRNA from 1 species